CCCUUAGAUGUCCUGGGCCGCACGCGCGCUACACUGAUGCAUUCAACGAGUAUUUCCUUGGCCGAGAGGCCUGGGCAAUCUUUUAAACCUGCAUCGUGAUAGGGAUAGAUUAUUGCAAUUAUUAAUCUUGAACGAGGAAUUCCUAGUAAACGCAAAUCAUCAAUUUGCAUUGAUUACGUCCCUGCCCUUUGUACACACCGCCCGUCGCACCUACCGAUUGAAUGGUCCGGUGAAAUCUCGGGAUUGUGGCCAGUUCACUUUAUUGGGAGUUGGCUGCGAGAACUUGCUUAAACCUUAUCAUUUAGAGAAAGGUGAAGUCGUAACA
rnacentral:rRNA from 1 species